GACUUGACAUCUCCUGAAUUACUCUUAAUCGAGGAAGUCCCUUCGGGGACAGGAAGACAGGUGGUGCAUGGUUGUCGUCAGCUCGUGUCGUGAGAUGUUGGGUUAAGUCCCGCAACGAGCGCAACCCUUAUUGUUAGUUGCUACUAUUAAGUUAAGCACUCUAACGAGACUGCCGCGGUUAACGUGGAGGAAGGUGGGGAUGACGUCAAAUCAUCAUGCCCCUUAUGUCUAGGGCUACACACGUGCUACAAUGGCUGGUACAACGAGCAGCAAACCCGCGAGGGGGAGCAAAACUUGAAAGCCAGUCCCAGUUCGGAUUGUAGGCUGAAACUCGCCUACAUGAAGUUGGAGUUGCUAGUAAUCGCGAAUCAGCAUGUCGCGGUGAAUACGUUCCCGGGUCUUGUACACACCGCCCGUCACACCAUGAGAGCCGGUAACACCCGAAGCCCGUGAGGUAACCGUAAGGAGCCAGCGGUCGAAGGUGGGAUUGGUGAUUGGGGUGAAGUCGUAACAAGGUAGCCGGAGGAGAACCUGCGGCUGGAUCACCUCCUUUCUAGGGA
rnacentral:rRNA from 1 species